AGGAAUUCUAAGUGAGGAAGAGUCCCUCUCCCAUUCCGCUGCAGCCAUGAGGAGAAUAUUUGUACUUCUUUUUUUACCUAUGGAACUUCAUCAGGACCCACUUUAACAAGCAGGAGUCUUACAAUAUUUUAAAGGGAUUUGACAAGGGAAGAAGGAAGAAGACCAGUGCUGACCAAGAGAAGAAGAAGAGUCCAUUGCCAAGCUUUUCCAGCAGCCAAUAUCUGAUAAUGGAGCAGAAGAUGAGACUGACCUCAACUUGUUAACAAGACUGGAGAUGAAGGAAUAACUACUGUCUAACCUGAAAUCUUUGUUUCUUUUUUGUUAAUAGGUAGGGGUUUAUGCUGGCAUUGAUCCUGUUUCCGAAAGCAGCUCGCCAUGUUUCUGUGAGAGUCCAAAGAGAUCAGCUAGAACCUGAAAAUAAAGACAGACUGCCAUCAAUUUUGUUUCUUUGACAGCAGACAAAUAUGCUUCAACAAUAGUGCAGAGAUUAAGGUUUGGGCUGCAAGUGAUGGACAAACUAAAGAGCUUAACUCACAGAAUUCAAUGGACUGUGCUGAGUACAUUGUUAUCAGGAAGUAAUGGACACACUAAACAGCUUACCUCACAGAAUUCAAUGAACUGUGCUGAGUACAUUGUUAUAAUAAAGUGAUGGACAGUUGGACACACUAAAUAUCUUAACUUGUAAGAUUCAGUGCACUGUGCUGAGUAACUCUUAUCAACACAGUGAUGGACACACUAAACAGCAUAUUUCACAGAAUUUAAUGGAUAUUGCUUGAGUACGUUGUUAUUACAAAAUGAUGGACACAGUAAAUAGCUUGACUCCAGAAUUCAGUGGACCGUGCUGAGUACAUAACUCAUAAAGGAUAACUCCUGACAUAUUCACAGCAGAUCACUCAAAGUUAACUCUGUUAAAUUUGUAAUAAAGCAUUUGGAGAAAGCUCAGAGUGCUACUACAUUAUUGUACAUCUUUUCAUAUACUAAGUUAUUUUUUCUGAAUGUUUUUUGUAUCUGUAUAUUAUAUUUUUAAAUAAAAA